rnacentral:lncRNA from 1 species
UUGAAGUUACACUUUCAGUGAAUGUGGAAGAAAUGCUGAGUCCCCCCGACCUGGUUUUGCCUCCACAGUGAGUGACUUGUUUGGAGAAAAAGUCCUUAAAUGAUUUUCUCUGAAACCAUUUCCAAAAAAAAAGGGCAUGUAAAGAAUUGGCUCCGUGUUCUUGCUGUCACUCAUGGAGACUGGCCAAUCACACUAAGGUUUCCUUAAGUCUUAAAUGAAUGAGAAUUCUACAAGCCCUUGCAAUAAAUAGUACUGACAGUAAGUAAGAAAAAGACAGAACAUCUAUCCCCCAAAUGGGCAAAAGACUUGACUGAACAGGUGCAUCACUGAAAAAAGGAAUCCAAAUGGCCAAUCAGUGCUCAGAUUGAGAGAAUGAGAGAACACCUCCAGGCCCACCAACCUGGCAAAUAUUAGUCUGUCAAUAACAGCAUUGGCCUGGGUGGGAUAGAGGCACCAGAACUUCAUGCAAUGCUGAUGUGAUUUGGCUCAUGCUUCAGUUUGUCUAUUUUUAAAGCAGAAGGUGCUUUUUGAAUAAUUUUGAAGCCAGGUCAUUGCUUUUAUUUCUAUUCAAUAAAUAUUAGUGUAUUCUUUCCACAAGUCAGAUAUGAUUAUCAUUCCUUCAUCAGUCACGAUGUGCCAGUUGAAUACAAAUACACAAGAAAACCCAACAUAGCUACAUAUC